rnacentral:lncRNA from 1 species
AAUCUAUAACACAUUUAUUUGAAUGCAUCUUAACAUAUUUCACUUUCACAACAUUUCUUAAAGGCUUACUGCCUAACUUGAGACAAAAAUACUGGCAGUGGAUAACUAAUCUGUUUAUAAUAAAAAUAAGUUAAACUUAGCACUAUGCUAUGCAUAUACAGCACCUGAAGGCCUUGUGCUUCACCAUAAAGCAAGAUUAACAACACACAGAGCAACAUAUUGAUGAGCCACAGUGUUCACCAGCGCCAAGUAUUUUGAAAGGUGUAAGUGUGCAUGUCCAUCCUUCCCACAUGAUAUUCUUGAUGGAGAGGGUUCGUGGCAGACUUCAUAAAAAAUGUUCAAGGAUUUUUAAGAAUCUCUAGGUUCCGCCGAAGCGCGAUUAAAAAAAAAAACCUUACAUGUGACAGCUUGAAAACUAAGUAUUGUCGACGAAAUGCAAACGUUCUUUUAAACUGCAUGUUAAUGAAGGAGGCACAAGAGUAGUGCUUGGCACAAGAGUAGUGCUUAGCAGCGCCAACUAGAGCAGUGCCAACUAGAGCAAAGCUGCUGCUGGAUUGACUCAAAUUUUGUAUUGCACCUACCUUGCCACCAGGUUGUCACAUGAAAUCUAGUAAGCUUAGCAGAAAACAAAAUUUACAAAAGUUUAAGCAAUGCCAUGAAAUUUAAGCAUUUCCAAGGACUGGCUACGAACCCUGAAUUCUGUUAACACAUUUAUGGCUCGUUUCAGCACCUCCAUUUAAUCAAAGCAAGUGACAAUUUCUGAAUUGUAACUGCUACUGCAUCUAUGUAAAUAAAUGAAAUUGGGGCAAAGAAAUACCAUUAUUUCAGUCAUCAUUUCGCUCGGCUACUAUGACCAGAGGCAUUGCUUCGAAAUUACAAAUAAGGAACAAACUCCAGUGUGUACGUCAAACACUUGCACUCUGUUCAUGCUUUUUGGCCACAUCAGUUGUAGUACUGCGAGCAUAACAAAGUCUUGCAUAAUUAAGGCAUGACUAAGCUUCAAAUGGCUGGUCGAGGGUGUGCAUUUUUUCACCACGAACGCUGGUAGGCUAAACGUUGCAGUUUCACUAGAAUCACUUCUGCAGCAGUGGAGGUUGAGUACCUGGGUCUUCUCAUGCAUAUGUAAUAGAUAACACAAGAAACAACAAGAGCACUGUACAAAAGAAACAUCCUCCAUUGCCUAAGGUGGAGUCUCGACAAUGCAGCUCUGCUAGCACAACAUAUUUUUUUUUUUACACUGAAGUUAGGGCUAUAACAAAAUAGGAAUUGUAAUCCAUGACAUUCUCCAU